rnacentral:rRNA from 1 species
GACGAACCGAGCGAACGUUGUUCGGAAUCACUGGGCUUAAAGGGCGCGUAGGCGGGUGCUCAAGUCCGGGGUGAAAUCCUCCAGCUCAACUGGAGAACUGCCUCGGAUACUGGGUGUCUCGAGUGUGGUAGGGGUAUGCGGAACUAUCGGUGGAGCGGUGAAAUGCGUUGAUAUCGAUAGGAACUCCGGUGGCGAAGGCGGCAUACUGGACCACUUCUGACGCUGAGGCGCGAAAGCCAGGGGAGCAAACGGG